ensembl:snoRNA SNORA70 Small nucleolar RNA SNORA70
AUACUUAAAUUCUGUCUGACUGGACUCCUUUCCCCAGGGGGCCCAGGUGUGCAGUCCUUGCAAACAGCAGCUUCUGUGGCAUUGUAUGCUACCUGGUGCUUGCAUAUGUUUCCCUAUGGACCUGGAGACAGCC